CACGUAGUUAGCCGGCGCUUUUUCUGCAGGUACCGUCACUUACGCUUCUUCCCUGCUAAAAGAGGUUUACAACCCGAAGGCCGUCAUCCCUCACGCGGCGUUGCUGCAUCAGGCUUGCGCCCAUUGUGCAAUAUUCCCCACUGCUGCCUCCCGUAGGAGUCUGGGCCGUGUCUCAGUCCCAGUGUGGCCGGUCACCCUCUCAGGCCGGCUACCCGUCGACGCCUUGGUGAGCCAUUACCUCACCAACAAGCUGAUAGGCCGCGAGCCCAUCCCAGACCGAAAAAUCUUUCCAAACACGACCAUGCGAUCACGUCUCAUAUCCAGUAUUAGACACCGUUUCCAGCGCUUAUCCCAGAGUCCAGGGCAGGUUGCUCACGUGUUACUCACCCGUUCGCCACUGAUCCACCAAGCAAGCUUGGCUUCACCGUUCGACUUGCAUGUGUUAAGCACGCCGCCAGCGUUCAUCCUGAGCCAGGAUCAAACUCU
rnacentral:rRNA from 1 species